GCCGGGCGGCCAUGUUGUCUCGGCAGGCGCAGUCUCUGCUCCAUCUGCGGCUCGGCUGAGGGAUGUCACUGAUUACAUCUAGCUCAGGUUUGCAUGGGCUCUCUCUGGCCUCGUUUUCCUGGCAGCGUGGGUGAGAAGGGGCAGGCGGACACUUACUGGCUUUGGAGAGGAGCUUCCGCAGCUGAAGAGACCAGAAAAAGGUGGAGUCAAGCGACUGGAGCUACAGAAGAGGAAGGGAGGAAAGGACAGACAGAUGGAUAAAGAAGCGCCUGAACUGUACAAUUGCCUGGCAGUGCAGAUAGUUGGAGCUCCAGACACUGCACAGAAAUGGUGUUGGGAUCUGCAGGGACAGGUGGGACCUGCUGCAAUUGCUCAUGAAUGUGAACUGGACUUGAUGGACUUGAAGGACUUGAAUGAAACCAGACUGACUGUGUAUGGUUUUCUUCCCAACUCCAAUUCCAACCUCCAUGCUCGGCACCAAUGAACAAGAGACCUUGUGCUGUUUUCCAGAUGUCAGUGGCUGCCAGUUAGUGGAGAACAUCACUUAGGUAAUGGUGCAGUUGUUCUGUGAACAGUACAAGACAGACAUUGAGUCCAGAGGAGGCCACGAAGUUGAUCCUAGGGCUGGAGCACCUGUGCUAUGAGGACAGGCUGAGAGAGUUGGGAUUGUUCAGCGUG